rnacentral:rRNA from 1 species
UACGAAGGGGGCUAGCGUUGCUCGGAAUCACUGGGCGUAAAGGGUGCGUAGGCGGGUCUUUAAGUCAGGGGUGAAAUCCUGGAGCUCAACUCCAGAACUGCCUUUGAUACUGGAAGACUUGAGUCCGGGAGAGGUGAGUGGAACUGCGAGUGUAGAGGUGAAAUUCGUAGAUAUUCGCAAGAACACCAGUGGCGAAGGCGGACUC